CAGAGGAAUCGCAUUUUGAUGUUGAUCAUUUGCCAACUGGGAUUUAAUGUGUGAACCGCAACUCCCUCUAGUGGUUCAUGGAUCUGAGCUUGCAAAUGAUUGCUGGAUCUUGUGUUCACUGUUUUAAGGCAUCUACUUGAGGAAUCUCUGGCUUACGCAAACAGAAGACUGGAAGCAGUUCCAGGUGAGAAGGUUCUGCGAUACAAUAAGGAGCACCGUGAUCAGCAAAACCGUCUGAAAGAAAUAGACCAUCAGCUGAAAUCCCUGGAGGGAAAUCUUGUCACUCCACUACACCUCACCUCAUGUAUGCUGUGCAACAUGGUUUCAGCUGGGCCUGUGCACAAAACAAGGCUGGAAGACAGAGACUUUAAUGUACUUUACAAUAUUAACAUAAAAAUCAGAAAAUCUGCUUAAGUAUUAUGUUUGAAGUAACGAAACUGAGGCCUUUGCAACUUGAGGUCUUCCUUUACUUUUAUUAAAAAAAGUCCUCAGUGAAUUAAUAUACCAAAG
rnacentral:lncRNA from 1 species